UACGUAGGGUCCGAGCGUUGUCCGGAGUUACUGGGCGUAAAGCGCGCGCAGGCGGCGGUGCUGGCCCGGCGUGAAAGCCCCCGGCUCAACCGGGGAGAGUCGUCGGGGACCGCACCGCUUGAGGGCGGUAGGGGCUGGUGGAAUGCCUGGUGUAGUGGUGAAAUGCGUAGAGAUCAGGCAGAACACCUGGGGCGAAGGCGGCCAGCUGGGCCGUCCCUGACGCUGAGGCGCGAAGGCGUGGGGAGCGAUCCGG
rnacentral:rRNA from 1 species